AUUGUGACAUACCUCUGCACUGAUCACCCAGGUGAUAUAACUCUUCUCUAGGAUCUGCCUACUGGGUGCUUUGUGACAUAUCCCUGCAAUGAUCACCCAGGUGAUAUACCACUUGUCAAGGCCCUGCCUACAGGGGCAUUGCGAUGUAUCUCUGCACUGAUCACCUAGGUCAUGUAAAUCUUUUCUAGGCUCUACCUAUAGUGGCAUUGUGACAUAUCUCUGCACUGAUCAUCCAAGUGAUGUAACCUUUCUCUAGGAUCUGCCUAAAGGGAAUUUGUGACAUAACUCUGCACUGAUCAUCCAGGUGAUGGGGCUUUUAUCUAGGCUCUGCCUAAGGGGGCAUUGUGACAUAUUUCUGCACUGAUCACCCAGGUGAAGGACUCUUGUCUUCGAUCGGCCUAUAGGGGCAUUGUGACAUAUUUCUGCACUGAUCACCCAGGUGAUGGGACUCUUGUCUAGGCUCUGUGUAUGGGGACUUUGUGACAUAUCUCUGCAGUAAUCACCCAGGUGAUGUAACGCUUGACUAGGCUCUGCCUACGGGGCAUAGUGACAUAUCACUGCAUUGAUCACUGAGGUGAUGUAACUCUUGUCCGACUCUGCGUAUAGGGGGCCUUGUGACAUAUCUCUGCACUGAUCAUCUAGGUGAUGUAACUCUUGCUUACACUCUGCCUGCAGGGGCAUUGUGAAAUAUCUCUGCACUGAUCACGCAGGUGAUUGGACUCUUCUGUAGGCUCCGCCUCCUGAGGGCAUUGUCACAUAUUUCUGCAAUGAUCACCCAGGGGUAUUGAGACAUAUCUCUG
rnacentral:lncRNA from 10 species